GAUAUAUGAAUGAGUGAUGGUACAGAGCGGCAUAGGCAAGAUACAGUAGAUGGUAUUGAGUGCAGUAUAUACAUAUGAGAUGAGUAUGUAAACAAAGUGGCAUAAUUUAAAGUGGCUAGUGAUACAUGUCUUACAUAAAGAUGCAGUAGAUGAUAUAGAGUACAGCAUAUACGUAUACAUAUGAGAUGAAUAAUGUAGGGUAUGUAAACAUUAUAUUAAGUAGCAUUGUUUAAAGUGGCUAGUGAUAUAUUUUACAUCAAUUCCCAUCAAUUCCCAUUAUUAAAGUGGCUGGAGUUGAGUCAGACUUGAGUUCCUGUAUGUUGUUGUGACCACACCACGUCUCGUUAACCAUAAAGCAUACGCCCCCGCCCCUCUUCUUACCAGAAAGAUGUUUGUUUCUGUCGGCGCAAUGCGUGGAGAAACCAGCUGGCUGCACCGACUCCGAUAGCGUCUCUUGAGUGAGCCAUGUUUCCGUGAAGCAAAGAACGUUACAGUCUCUGAUGUCCCUCUGGAAUGCUACCCUUGCUUGGAUUUCAUCAACCUUGUUGUCAAGAGACUGGAUAUUGGCGAGAAGUAUGCUAGGGAGUGGUGCGCGAUGUGCCCAUCUCCGGAGUCUGACCAGAAGACCGCUUCGUUUCCCUCUUUUACAAAGUCGUUUUUUUGGGUCGCCGGCUGGGAUCCAUUCCGUUGUCCUGGGUGAAAAGCAGAACACAGGAUCCGCUUCGCGAAAGUCAUAUUCUUGGUCGUACUGAUGUUGAAGUUCACAGUGGAAGAGAAGCAGGGGUCCAUUGUGACCAUGGAGGAGGACACUGGCACUGCAGAAUGCCAGAAACGCCAGAAACCGAAUAAGUGCAAAGAAUGCAUGGAUAGGAACUGUGUAAGAACAGUGGAGACAGUGGUGAAGUCCAGAGUUAGGGAGGUUAGUUAGAAUGGAAUCUAAGGGAAGGAACAGGGAAGGGAAGGAACAGUUAUGACAUUGAUGUUAUUAUGCAAUAAACAGGUCAAACUGGGGAAAGUGUUCGAUAUUCUGUAAACAAUAUAUGUCACCUCUGUUUGACCUGAGCCUAGUUAUUCUCAAUGAAGUACAGUCAGUAUAGUCAAUUCCAUCAUCAAUUGAGCAAAUUUGUGAAUUUAGGAAAAGGUGUUGUAAAUUACACAAAACCACAAAGCAAGCGAUUUCAAAUACAUUUUUUUUUUUAAAAAUUCUGUUCAUAAUAAGACAGAGAGAAGAUUUAAUCAGAUGGAAGCCAUGCUCCUGGUAAGUAGGCUGCUAUGCCAGAGUUGUGUCACUAUUGCUAUCUAUUGGGACAUAUGCAGUGCUUGACUUGGGUUGGAGCUCACUGUAGCAGAGUACCGGCACCUCAGACUUAUUACUGCUUGAGCUCCUGUUCCUCUUAUAGAAUAUUAGCUCAAAAGUAUUGUGGAGCUCCUGCAAUGAAUUGAAUAUAAACAGCACCCAAAAUGAGUAAAUUAUUUCUUUGUUUCUUUCAUUUGACCUAUUUUGAUGUGGUCUGUUCCUUUUGUUGUUGUGGUUGGUGGUGGUGGCUUCAUUGCAGUGGAAGAAAGUGGCGGAGCACCUGGGUCCACCUACCUACCAUCUCCUGAAGCCAACUCCUGUCCCUAUACCUGUGAAGAAGUUGUCUCAUUCUCUCUCCUCCUCUAUCUAUCUAUCUAUCCCCCCCCCACUUAUCUCCAUAAUAAUACAUCCUCUUCAGUUUCCAAUGUGUGGUCUGUGCUUGACGAAGACAUUGUUAAGAAUUAUUAGGAUCCAAUAUAAUCCUAUGGUAUUGUUUAAUGGCAUACACAUAAACAUCUACCUACAGCAUGACAGAUCUACAAGUUGUACAAUGAAUCAGGAAAGCAGCAGAUACGGCAGUCGGCAGAGCCAGGAGGACACAGUGGUGGAUGGCAAACACGUAGCCUGUCGAUAUGGAAUGGGACCAGGGAGGACCAGGUGUGCCUCCGUGACACUACAAUUAUUGUGAUCUACCCAAUUAAUAUUGGUUCAUCAAUAUUCUCACAUAUAAAAGUGAGUCUGCAAUCAGGGUUAGGUCUAGUACAAUGUGUUUCUAUUUUUAUGAGCCUUUAUUUAAACAGGGAUUCACAUUGAGGUAACUCUUUUACAAGAGUCCUGUAUACGUCUACAAAUACAACCCAGUACAUAAAUAACAUAACAGCUCUAAUAUACAUUACAAAUAAAACACACUAUAAUAAAACACAAUACACAAUGUUAAACAUAUUUAAGAAAAGCAAUCGCAUUCUGUAACAUAAAAGUCUCCAAUCAGUUAUUUAAAAUGCCUGAAAGGCACCAGAAUAUCUAACUGCAAGGAAUGCUGUGUAUUGUUCCACACAUAAGGGGCAACAAAAACAAAAAGCAGAUUUGCCCAAUUCUGUGUAGACCAAAUGAAUCUCCAGAGUUAUGGAGGCUGCUGAGGGGAGGACGGCUCAUAAUAAUGGCUGUGUCACGCCCUGACCAUAGAGAGCUAUUUAUUCUCUAUGUUGGUUGGGGCGUGAUAGUGACUAGGGUGGGUCAUCUAGGUGAUUCAUGAUUUAUGUUGGCCUGGUAUGGUUCCCAAUCAGAGCCAGCUGUUUAUCGUUGUCUCUGAUUGGGGAUCAUAUUUAGGCAGCCAUUUCCCCAUUGUGCUUUGUGGGAUCUUGUCUAUGGAUAGUUGCAUGUUAGCACUAUUAUUAGCUUCACGUUUCGUUUGGUAUUUUGUUGUUUUUGUUCGGUGUUCAUUUCAAAAUGCAAUAUUCCCAUCA